rnacentral:lncRNA from 1 species
AUCUCUGCAUCCCUCAGAGAAGUUUUUUUCCUGAUUUUGUUUCUCUUGAAGCGCCUGGGGUGAGGAUAAACCUCUACAUUGGCCAAGCAGAAGAAGCAGCUAAGAAGAAUUGCUCUGUGCCAGUUGUGUUUUUCCAUCAUCAAUCUUCUCAUUAGUCUUUAGUACAAGUCUGUAAGGAUCUGUGACCCAGGUGAAUCAGUCAGGAGGGGCUCUUCACAGCGCAGAGGGAAGCACUUUUCACACUGUUCUAGAAUGAGAAGUUGAAUUCAUGAACUCACCUAAUUUAGAAGACAUGGGCUGUGGCACUUCAUCUGCAACAAAAGACAAGAAAUCUGAGAAAGCACUAAAAGCCGCAUUGGUCAUACAGAACUGGUACCGAGGUUACAGAGCCCGGUUGAAGACCAGACAACGCUAUGCCCUCACCAUCUUCCAGUCCAUCGAAUACGCUGAUGAGCAAGGCCAGUUGCAGCUCUCAAACUUCUUCUCCUUCAUGUUGGAAAACUAUACACAUGUGCAGGAGAAAGAGCCAGGAUUAGUAACUCGCCUUUUUGGUAGCAGCAUUCAGGACAAGGAUAGACAAGACUAUUUGGAGUUGAUAGAAAUCCCAGACUCCUACUGUGGUCCUCGGCUGCAAUUUCCUCUCACUUUUACUGACAUUGAUUUACUUAUUGAGGCCUUCAAGCAACAACAGAUACUUCAUGCUUAUUAUGUCUUAGAGGUGCUGUUUGAAACCAAGAAAGUCCUACAGCAAAUGCCGAAUUUUACUCAUACAAACACAUCUCCAUCCAAAGAGAUAACAAUUUGUGGUGAUUUGCAUGGGAAGCUAGAUGACCUUUUUCUGAUCUUCUAUAAGAAUGGUCUCCCCUCAGUGACCAACCCAUAUGUUUUUAAUGGUGAUUUUGUAGAUCGAGGAAAAAAUUCCAUGGAGAUCCUAAUGAUCCUGUUUGUGAGUUUUCUUGUGUACCCAAAUGACCUGCACUUGAACAGAGGCAACCAUGAGGAUUUUAUGAUGAAUAUGAGGUAUGGCUUCACGAAAGAAAUUUUACAUAAAUAUAAGCUGCAUGGAAAAAAAAUCUUACAAAUCUUGGAAGAGGUCUAUACCUGGCUCCCAAUUGGUACAAUCAUUGACAAUGAAGUCCUGGUCAUACAUGGAGGGAUAUCAGAGUCCACAGACUUGAAUUUACUCCACCGUAUAGAAAGAAACAAAAUGAGGUCUGUGCUGAUGCCACCAAUUCCAAUGGAUGGAGACCGUGCUGAGAAGAAAAAUAAAUUGGGUACAACCACUGUGGCUCAGGGAAUCAGAACAAGUGGAUCCUUUUCUGAACAAUUAACAAAGCAGGAAUGGGAGCAGGUUAUCGAUAUCCUUUGGAGUGAUCCCAGAGGCAAAAGAGGCUGCUACCCAAACACGAACCGAGGAGGGGGCUGCUACUUUGGACCAGACAUUACCUCCAAGAUUCUUAAUAAAUACCAGUUGAAGAUACUUGUUAGAUCUCAUGAAUGUAAGCCUGAAGGGUAUGAAAUCUGCCACGAUGGGAAGGUUAUUACUGUAUUUUCUGCGUCUAAUUAUUAUGAAGAAGGUAGCAAUCGAGGAGCUUACAUCAGAAUGAGUUCUGGUACGACCCCUCGGUUUUUCCAGUACCAAAUAACUAAGGCAACGUGCCUCAGGCCUCUUUACCAAAGGGUGAAUGCUAUUGAAAGUAGUGCCAUCAGGAUGUUAAAAGAGAGAAUGAUUUCACGAAAAACUGACCUCAUUCGAGCUUUCCAACUUCAAGACCGCAAUAAAUCAGGAAAACUUUCAAUGGGCCAGUGGGCUUUUUCAAUGGAGAAUGUUUUGGGGCUGAACUUACCAUGGAGAUCACUGAGUUCUCAUCUGGUAACCACAGACAAAGAUGGAAAUAUUGACUACAUGUCUGGCUUCCAGGAUGUCCACAUUCAGAAACCUGUGAAAGAGGUUCAGUCUACUCUAAUUGAAACAGUGUACAGAUACCGAUCUGACCUGCAAAUCAUCUUUAAUAUCAUUGACUCUGAUCACUCAGGCUUGAUCUCCAUGGAAGAAUUUCGUAGCAUGUGGAAACUUUUCAAAAGUCACUACAGUGUUCAUAUUGAUGAUUCCCAGUUUGAUGAGCUCGCCGAAAGGAUGGACUUAAACAAAGAUGGAAGCAUUGACUUUAAUGAGUUUUUAAAGGCUUUCUAUGUAGUGCAUAAAUUUGACCAGUUGACCAAAUCAGACACCAAGCUUAUA